ACAGCUAAACAGACAGACAGGACAAAAACAAUAUGCGCCCCGAAAAAAUUUGGGUGCAUAAAAACUGUCUUGGAGUUAACAGCAGUUCUCUGUUUCUCCUGAAUGUUAUGUACAAUUUGAUCGGGAUCGGAAGAAUGUUUCAAAAAGUCGGGCUCAGUGAUCAAUUAAUUUAAACAACAGACCGCCAAAAUUUAACCUUGGCCUCCAUGUUGCAACGUCUGCUCUGUCUAAAGGAAGAAGUUUGUUGACCAGACAGCCUGAGAUCGUAUUGCUGUAUCAACCAAAAGAUGCAGAUACACGUAUUUCAUAUGCGCGUCUGUGCAUGAGGAGGAGAUUUCUGAAAAAGAAUAAGUGCUUAUUCAACUUACUGCGAUUUUAACGGGCUUAAAGCUUGGUCCAUGGAUGGUUAUGUUUGAGGAAUUGCCAAUUCGACUGCAAGUGCUGCUGCAAGAAAUUAAACAUGCAGAGACCUUACAAAUUACAAAGAAGUCUGAAGAAAAUUUUUAUUGGACAGAUGGGUGUAAAGCACAGACCUGAGAUAUAAAUUGAAUUGUGAGAAAUAUGAAUCAGGGAUGCAGGUAGAAAAUGGCAAAUGUGAUCCAGAUUGAUAAAAGAUGUCUAAAAUUUUUUCUUGUUUUGUAAAUAUUCAAUGCUAUGUCAAUUGUUAUUUUUUCCCCAAUACCUAAUAGUGUUGAACAUUUCACUCCCACUUUUGCUUAAAUAGAAUGAAUAAAUUUCCAUUUAUUUAAUAUGAAUAUUAAAAAAUGCCACAUUUUUUCCAUGAUGAACUUGUGGCUUAAAUAAGAGUUCCAGUUUUUUUUCCAUACAUGCUCCUAUUUGUUUGUCAAAGAUAUAAGAUCCAAUACAUUGCUCAUGAACAUAAUGUGUAAUUUUGUUCAUUCAUUUAUAUGUUUUUUUC